UACGUAGGGUGCAAGCGUUAUCCGGAAUUAUUGGGCGUAAAGAGCUCGUAGGCGGUUUGUCGCGUCUGCUGUGAAAACUGGAGGCUCAACCUCCAGCCUGCAGUGGGUACGGGCAGACUAGAGUGCGGUAGGGGAGAUUGGAAUUCCUGGUGUAGCGGUGGAAUGCGCAGAUAUCAGGAGGAACACCGAUGGCGAAGGCAGAGUCUCGGGCCGUAACUGACGCUGAGGAGCGAAAGCAUGGGGAGCGAACAGG
rnacentral:rRNA from 1 species